GACGUAGGAUGCAAGCGUUGUCCGGAAUUAUUGGGCGUAAAGAGUUCGUAGGCGGUUGCCUAAGUCUGAUGUUAAAUACUGGAGCUCAACUCCGGCAUGGCAUUGGAAACUGGGCGGCUAGAGUGUGGUAGAGGUCUCGGGAAUUCCAGGUGUAGCGGUGAAAUGCGUAGAUAUCUGGAGGAACACCGGUGGCGAAAGCGCGAGACUGGGCCAUAACUGACGCUGAGGAACGAAAGCCAGGGGAGCGAAAGGA
rnacentral:rRNA from 1 species